CUGGUGGAGAUUGUCUCAGCAUUUCCCAGUGAAGGCAUCCAUAUCGGAUCCAAAGGCAAGACUGCAGCAUUGGGCCCCUGUUCAUCUCCCAGGGCUGUUGUCAGAGGGCUCUGCUGGGACACCGACCCUCUCCAGCCUCCUUUCUCAGCCUGGUCUCAGCAGAGCUGGAGACAUUAACUAAAGCUGGAAGGUUUUCAGAACAAAGACAAAGAAGUGUUUCUCAUUCUGUGCAUGACAACAGACUCCUUGAAUAACAAAGCCCAGAUGGCAGAGAGUGGAUUUCUGGAAAGUACCUCUGAUGCUCACCCUGUUCCCAGGCCCCUCCAUGAACAUCUGCUCCCGGCACUGCUGGGAGCAGGCUGCUGAGCUGAGCACUGUUACGGCAUUGUCUUUAGUUGACCAAGAUGUAAUCAGAGGAGCAAUGUAUUGGAGAACAGAGGAUCCACCAGGUUGCACAGAAGGCCAACAGACUUGGUCCUGCUGUCAGGGAGAGCGUAAUCUGUGUUUCUGAGGGUGGUUUUACAUCUGACUUUGGCAGGAACAGGCUUAAGGAUUUCAUUAUUCAGCACCCUCUCCAUCUGCUUUAUUGAAGAUGCGUGCAAAGAUUAAACAUGACAAGGAAUUUGUUUCCAAGAGACUGAUAUUUUGGGAUGGCUUAAGAAAUAUAAGUACACCAUGCUGUCCCUGGAGAGCAACACAGGCUGCGCCUCCACUCUGGCCCCCUGCAGGAUGCCCAGUGUCAUGAGGCAGAACAGAAUCAGUAUCACAGUCAUGUGCCUUUUGGGAUGGGUUUCUCUCCCUUUCUCUUUUCCUACAGACCCUUUCAUUUUGAAGUCCUAAAAAUAACAGGUUCAUUGAAAGUCACCUCGAGAAUAUCCUCCUAUGUCCAGGCAUCACGAGUGCAAGAAAUGAUUUGUUGGGCGCUACUACAGCAAGUUUUUGCCUGUUCCUAUCCAUCUCCUGUCAGCACUCACACUGCUGUUGACAAAAUGAAUUUUGCCUCGAUUUCAUCUUUCCAAACUACGCAGAUGAACCAGAAGCCAUGUCUUUGUGUCAUUCUUGUUGUUAAACCUUACAGAAGGAGUGGUCCUGCAGAAGGGAUGCAGAAGAUAUCCGAGAAAAGCUUGCUGCUGUAAGCAAGCACAGACCAACACAGUGUUGGAAACAGGCACCAAAGGCACCAGCCACCUUUUUUAAGACUUUGAAUGUAAAUGUGUUAUUACAAUGGUUUAAUACUGUUUUGAUGUCUCCCAACCAGCAUCUCCUGCAAGGUUAUGGUUUCCAUUUUCUCUCAUUCAACCUUAGUACAGCUGCCAUCCGUCUGCCACACAGGCGGAACUGCAAGGUCAGGAAUAUGAGGCCAGGCUCCUCGUGCUGUCUGCCUUGUUUUCCCCAUGCAAUUUUGAUGUGACAGAUGCACGAGCUAAGAGGAACUCCUGGAGGAGCACACGUGUUUGUGUAUUAGCAAAGAUUUCCUCUGUUGUUUCAAGGGCAUAAGACAAGGAAGGAAGAAAAGGAGAAUUGGAUGAGUCCUGGCAUUCUUUCCUGCUCUGACAGCAGCUCCACGUUUACCCUCAUUGACACAGGCAGGGGCUUGUGUGACAGUUGUAGCGAGAUGACCCAGGGAAAUCAGGAUGGAUCCUGCAGAUAAGUAGCAUUUAACAAAAUUAAAGUGAAUGCCUUGGGAGAUUAGAGAUGUGCUCCCUUCGAGAGCUUGGACAGAGCUGGGGGGUUCUUGGAACAACCAUGUGAGCUGCAGAGGAACAACAGGUCACCUUCAUCAAUAGGGCCAAUAACUUAAAGCAUCAAGAAGUUUUUUCUGCAGCAGCUGUAUAAGAUAUUACCUGUCCAAGGAGGUGGUGGGAUCACCAUCUCUGAAGGUGUUUAAGAGCAGCAGAGAUGUGGCUCUGAGGGACACGGUCAGUGGGCACAGUGGUGUGGGAUGGGGUUGGACAUGGGGAUCUUAGAGGUCUUUCCUAACCUUAAUGGUAUUACAGUUUCAUGAUGUUUCAUAAAGCAUCUCUAGGUAAUCCCAGAACAGCUGCUAUGGCCUCAUGUGCAGGGGAAGGGCAGUCAGCCCACAGCCCCAGCAGCAAGGAUAGAACUGGGGGGGCUUCAUGCCCUGCAACCAAAACAUACAGACAUGUGUGUGAAAAGUGAGGUAGGGAAUGGAGGCUGUGGGUAGAUAAAUGUUUAUUAUGAGAUAUAGGCAUAUUUAAUUAGCUCCUGCAGACUUCAACACACUCCUAAUGAGCUCUUGCCAAGUUUGCCGUGAUUCCUCUCUAAUUUUUGUAACUCUGUAAUAGUAACAAUACAAUCGUUUUCUAUAAUAACCAUGAUAAAGCCCAGUUAAUCCUUCUGUAACUCCUGCAUAAGCUUCACGUAAUUAAAUCAGUUGGUGAAACAUUCUUGGUUUAAGGGAUGGAUGAAUGCAGCACAGCUCUGCCACCCUACCAAGAGGCUGAUGCAAAGAACAGGUUUCUCUCUCUUCCCACCCUCACAGCAGUGUAAAUCUAGUUAAUAGGGUUAAAAUGGCAAACAGAUGUGUUUGAAUCCCAGCUUUGCCCAUCACUGCUGACGCAGAGGCCAGAAUAUUGCCAACCAAGCAACUUUUGCCCAGCCUGAUUUGUGCUCCGUGGGGUAGUGAUUAGGCGGCUGCUGGAGCACAGAGCAGUUUUGGUGUGUGAGGGGAAUUGUGAGGAGGGGUGAGGGCAGAGACAUCACAGGACUCCUGCUUUCAGGCCUCCUUUAGAAGAGGGGCAGUGUUUCUCAACAGUGCUGAGAAAUGCAAUUUAGAUAAGUAGCUGGUGGCUCGUAUGAAGAGCUUAUCCAACCUGUUAUCUUUCACUGGUCUGAUGUGCCUCGAAAGGUGUCAUACAUACUCUUUCUUUCCUUUCCUUUUUAUUGAGACAUGUUUGCCAUAAUUACUCCUCUUAUAAGAAUUUCUUGUGCAAAAGCAUCUACACGUUACAAAGGAAAUAUCUAUCUGCACUUCAACUGGGUGAACAAUUGCAGCUUGCCCUCCCUCCAGAAUGCAGUUAUGUAGGUUUUUUGUGAUGAUGCCUUUAGAUGAGAACCAAUCUUCUCACAGACCUGACUCACAUUUAAGCUGUUGGUGUUAAUUGUUAAAUGCAAGGCAUGUCCCUCUCCCUGUGCAAUGCAGCCCUCUGCUCUGUAGGGAUCAGCCCUGCCCUCACCCCGAACUUGCAGUUUCACAAUGAGUGAAACAGGAGUGGGAAGAUCAACACAGAUGCAUUUAUUUAUAAAAUCUCUGUGUUACAUGUUUCCUGGUAGCGAUUAAUGUUGCGUCAUGGCCCAGCCAGCACAGCAAACCUCAGCUCAAGGCAGUGUGGGGGGGGAAGUUGAGCCUGUGAAACAAACUGGCUUUGUCUCAUCAUCCUCCCCUACACACCCAUGUGAGUCAUUCAGCAGCACUUGAGAUGCUGUGCUUUGUCUCUCUGUCCUGCAGUCAUCUGUGAUGGUUUCAGUUAUGGUCUGUUCUCUGUGUUGGUUGUGUUUUGUUGUGUUGUAAUCAGCACAGCGGGAUGCAGUGUUAUCUAAGUGACCUGCUCAUCAGCAAGAGCCAGGCUGCACCUCUUCUGCCAGCUCUUCUCCAUUAGAUACCACACCUAAUCUGUCACAUACCUCUUCUUUUAUGCCUGUGCUCUAAUAACUGACCAUGAGGACAACAUCAGAGGCUUUGGGGAGAGUGUUCACGUUCCCCUUUUAAGGGAAGGCCCAAGGAUGGGAUGUGUGUCUGGAAGGCAGUGAAACGUGCUGUGAAAUGGAUACAGUGCCCCUGUUUCAUUGAGAGAUGAGAAAAUCCUGACAGUAACCUCCAAGAGUGUUUGGACUUAUUCUGGUCUAUAGAGCAACCAGACUUUACUGUUUGCAGGUUGGGCUCUGAACCGAACCACGUGCCAAACAAGUGGCUUCCACAGGUCACUGAGCUCAACGUCAUUCCAAAUAGCACCAGCCCCAGGCCAAACUCACUCCUGAAAUAGCUGGGCCCAUCUCCUGUACCCAGUGCCCUGGCAUGGUGCAUCUUCUAUGGAGAUGGGAGCAGGCUGAUUGCCCUGGCUGUGCUGUGGGCACUGCUGCGAUGCACUGUUGGCCCUGUCCGGGUCACUGCCUUUCUUGCUCCAGUUAUUGAUGCAGUGAAAAUGGCACAGCUGCAUUCAGAGGAGGUGAAAGGACAAUGUGCUGGAUGUUCAUGUUUCACCAUCUUGAAUUUUCCUCCAGCUUUCACAUCCUGCACCAUCGGAGCAGCUGUCAAACCACUGCUCUGCUCCAGCCAUUCCCACCUGCUCAGGACAAAACCCAAUUUUGACCUUCCUCAGAUGGGUCUCACUGUGCUGAUAGCU